AGUGAACGCUGGCGGUAGGCCUAACACAUGCAAGUCGAACGGCAGCACAGUAAGAGCUUGCUCUUACGGGUGGCGAGUGGCGGACGGGUGAGGAAUACAUCGGAAUCUACUUUUUCGUGGGGGAUAACGUAGGGAAACUUACGCAAAUACCGCAUACGACCUACGGGUGAAAGCAGGGGAUCCUCGGACCUUGCGCGAUUGAAUGAGCCGAUGUCGGAUUAGCUAGUUGGCGGGGUAAAGGCCCACCAAGGCGACGAUCCGUAGCUGGUCUGAGAGGAUGAUCAGCCACACUGGAACUGAGACACGGUCCAGACUCCUACGGGAGGCAGCAGUGGGGAAUAUUGGACAAUGGGCGCAAGCCUGGUCCAGCCAUACCGCGUGGGUGAAGAAGGCCUUCGGGUUGUAAAGCCCUUUUGUUGGGAAAGAAAAGCAGCAGGUUAAUACCCCGCUGUUCUGACGGUACCCAAAGAAUAAGCACCGGCUAACUUCGUG
rnacentral:rRNA from 1 species